UACAGAGGGGGCAAGCGUUGUUCGGAAUUACUGGGCGUAAAGGGCGCGUAGGCGGCCUGUUAAGUCGAACGUGAAAUCCCCGGGCUCAACCCGGGAACUGCGUCCGAUACUGGCAGGCUUGAAUCCGGGAGAGGGAUGCGGAAUUCCAGGUGUAGCGGUGGAAUGCGUAGAGAUCCGGAAGAACACCGGUGGCGAAGGCGGUUGGCUGGGCCGUGGCUGACGCUGAGGCGCGACAGCGUGGGGAGCAAACAGG
rnacentral:rRNA from 1 species